rnacentral:rRNA from 1 species
CAAUAGCAUAUAUUAACGUUGUUGCAGUUGAAAAGCUCGUAGUUGAACUUUUGGUAGGAGCGACCUGGCCUUGGGCGCAUGCCCUUGUUUGCCGUGUGUCGUGUCUGGCCAUCCUUUUCCGUUUCGGCGGGAAUCUUUUACUGUGAGUAAACUGGAGUGCUCAAAACAAGACGUUUGUUUGGUACAUUAAAGCAUGGAAUAAUAAGAUAGGACCUGGUUACUAUUUUGUUGGUUUGCAUAGCUAGGUAAUGAUUAACAGGGACAGUUGGGGGUAUUCGUAUUUAAUUGUCAGAGGUGAAAUUCUUGGAUUUAUGAAAGACGAACGACUGCGAAAGCAUUUACCAAGGAUGUUUUCAUUAA